rnacentral:rRNA from 1 species
GAUGAACGCUAGCUACAGGCUUAACACAUGCAAGUCGAGGGGCAGCACAGUGUAGCAAUACACGGGUGGCGACCGGCGCACGGGUGCGUAACGCGUAUCCAACCUUCCCGAUACUCUUGGAUAGCCUUCCGAAAGGGAGAUUAAUACAAGAUGGUGUUUCACUUUCGCAUGUUAUUGAAACUAAAGAUUUAUCGGUAUCGGAUGGGGAUGCGUGACAUUAGAUAGUAGGCGGGGUAACGGCCCACCUAGUCUACGAUGUCUAGGGGGUCUGAGAGGAAGGUCCCCCACACUGGAACUGAGACAAGGUCCAGACUCCUACGGGAGGCAGCAGUGAGGAAUAUUGGUCAAUGGUCGGAAGACUGAACCAGCCAAGUAGCGUGAAGGAUGAAGGUUCUAUGGAUUGUAAGCUUCUUUUAUACGGGAAUAAAACACCUUACGUGUAGGGUCUUGUAUGUACCGUAUGAAUAAGCAUCGGCUAACUCCGUGCCAGCAGCCGCGGUAAUAC